CCAACGUUGCAGCAGCGUCGCCACCAGCACCAGCACCAACAUGCGGCUGCCCGCUCGUCACGCAUGCGCACUCGCCGCACGGGGCUGGUCAGCGUAGUGGCCGCGGCGGCAGCGGCGGCCGCCUCGCUCUCCACCAGGCACAUGGGGCAGAAGCACAGCAUGUGCCCCAUCAACGGAUGCAACAGACAUUCCUACAAAAGUGAGUGUCUUCUCCAGUCGUUACACUGCCUGCACCUGCGCACGGCGGCCGAGGAGACGAGGAUGACGGCGGAGACGGCGCCCAGCGCGGUGGCGCCGCCGGGCGCCGAGGCGGCCAAGCAGCAGUACUACGACCCCGAGUACGCGCGCAUGGAGGCCUGGCUCGACGAACACCCGGACUUCGCGCACGACUACUUCCUGCGGAAGGCGACGCGGCAGGUGGUGGACGCGUGGCUCGUGGCGCACGCGACUCCCACGCCGAGCAGCGCCGAGACGCUGACGUCGCCGUCGCACGGGGCGCCGUCGCGCGCCGGCUCGGGCGCCACCACGCCCGUGCGCAAGAUCUCGGCGCACGAGUUCGAGCGCGGCGGCCUGCUCAAGCCCAUCGUCAACACCAUCGACGGCACGCCCACCUUCCUGUCCGAGGAGGGCAGCGGCACCACCGUCGGCGUCUCCGGCGGCUGCAUCGGCAGCACCGGCGGCCGCUCGCAGCGCCGCUCUCGCCACGAGCUCAGGCACCUCGACGAGAAGGAGCUCAUCUUCGAACUCGUUAAGGACAUCUGCAACGAGCUGGACGUACGGUCGCUGUGCCACAAGAUCCUGCAGAACGUGAGCAUGCUACUGCACGCGGACCGCGGCUCGCUGUUCCUGGUGCAGGGCUGCGCCAGCAAGCGCUACCUCGUCUCCAAGCUGUUCGACGUGUGCUCGCGCUCUACGCUGCAGGAGAUGGAGAAGAAGGACGAGAUCCGCAUCCCCUGGGGCACCGGCAUUGUCGGCUUCGUCGCCGAGAGCGGCGAGCCCGUCAACAUCCCCGACGCCUACAAGGAUGAUCGUUUCAACCACGACAUUGACGUACUGACGGGCUACAAGACGAGGACGUUGCUCUGCAUGCCGAUUAAGGACUUCACUGGCGAUGUUAUAGGAGUAGCGCAGGUUAUAAACAAGCAAACAGACACCUGUUUUACAGCCAACGAUGAAAAAGUUUUUGCAAGUUACCUCCAGUUCUGUGGAAUUGGUCUGCGGAAUGCUCAGCUUUAUGAGAAGAGUCAGUUGGAGGUUAAGAGAAACCAGGUAUUAUUAGACCUGGCACGAAUGAUCUUCGAAGAGCAGAGCACCAUUGAACACAUGGUGUUUCGUAUCCUCACCCACACACAGUCCCUCAUACAGUGUCAGAGGGUUCAGGUGUUGCUCGUUCAUAGAGCAUCAAAAGGAAGUUUUUCAAGAGUAUUUGAUUUUGAAGCAAAUGACUUAAAUGGAGAGGAUAAUGAUUCAAGAACAAGUCCAUUUGAAAGCAGAUUUCCUAUCAACAUUGGCAUUACGGGUUAUGUUGCCACUACAGGUGAGACUGUCAAUAUUGCAAAUGCUUAUGAAGAUGACAGAUUUGACCCUUCUGUUGAUGAAGGCACAAAUUUCAAACAUAAAAGCAUUCUGUGCAUGGCAAUUAAAAAUUCUUCGGGUCAAAUUAUUGGUGUUAUACAGCUCAUCAAUAAAUUCAAUGACCUCGCAUUUACCAAAAACGAUGAAAAUUUUGUCGAAGCAUUUGCAAUCUUUUGUGGAAUGGGUAUACAUAACACCCACAUGUAUGAGAAGGCUGUCAUAGCUAUGGCUAAACAAAGCGUAACACUAGAAGUUCUGAGUUACCAUGCUUCUGCUUCACUUGAGGAUGCACAGAGACUGAAGGAACUUUAUUUUCAGAGCUUGAGGGUACCAUCUGCACAACAUUUCCAGCUGCAUGAUUUCAAGUUUGAUGAUAUCAGUAUGGAUGAUGAUGAUACACUGAAGGCUUGUAUUAGAAUGUUCCUAGAUUUGGAUUUCAUUGAGAGAUUUCACAUUGAUUAUGAAGUCCUAUGUAGGUGGCUACUGAGCGUCAAGAAGAACUAUCGCAAUGUGACAUACCACAACUGGAGGCAUGCAUUCAAUGUGGCACAGAUGAUGUUUUCCAUUAUCACAGCUACGCAGUGGUGGAAAAUAUUUGGGGAAAUAGAGUGUCUCUCUUUGAUAAUUGCAUGCCUUUGCCAUGAUCUUGAUCACCGAGGGACUAAUAAUACUUUUCAGAUAAAAGCAUCAUCACCUCUUGCCCAGCUCUAUUCUACAUCAACCAUGGAGCAUCACCACUUUGACCAGUGCCUCAUGAUCCUCAACAGCCCGGGUAACCAAAUACUUGCCAAUGUCUCACCGGAUGAAUACUCGAGGAUUAUUAAAGUUUUAGAGGAUGCUAUAUUGUCUACAGAUCUGGCAGUGUAUUUUAGCGAGGCACUUUUUUCAGUUUGGUGCAGUCCGGAACGUAUAACUGGAUGCGUGACGAUCACCGAGAACUACUGAGAGGAAUGACGAUGACCGUCUGUGAUCUUGCAGCCAUCACAAAACCAUGGGACGUAGAGAAGAGGGUGGCAGAACUGGUGUCAAGUGAAUUCUUUGAACAGGGUGAUAUGGAACGUCAGGAACUGAACAUCACACCUA
rnacentral:misc_RNA from 1 species